rnacentral:lncRNA from 1 species
ACUUUACAUACAUUUUCCAACCCGGAGCGGCUUCAACACAUGCAGCUCUUAGGCCCGGGCCGCACAUCUCAGAAGCCCCGUGUGCGACUUUGACUGCCGCACGAUCCUCUGCCGGGGGAGGUGGGCCCGCUGCGCUUUGGGAGCACCCGCGCCCGACACUGAGGUCUCGGUGCUGUCUUCGGCCUCUUCGCCCCUGAGGGUCCCCUCUGGGAGCAGAGGCGGUCGGAAAACCCUGGGGCUGAAGUGCAGGCUUCGGGAGGACGCGACCUGCCAAGAUCAGCUCCCGGCACGUGAUGGGAGCCUGGCUCACCUUCCCCCAGCACACGAUGGGGCUGCAGCCUCCCCGGUCAGCCUGGCCUGCUGGAAAGGAGCAGCUCUGUCUCCAGAGGCUUCUGGCGAAGCCCAUGGCCUCCCAAUGUUGGCUGAUUUAUAAGGAAAGAGGGGAAAGGCCAAGUGUGGAUGCCAUUAGCAUAACCUAAUCCAGACCCCAUGACAAGUCCAGGAUCCUGCAGGGAGAGGGCAUCCUUGAACGUGAAGGACUGGGUUUGGAAACUUGGCCUCCCGGAAGAAAGGUCUCCGGGCCCACCCACACCCCCCUUGUGGACGCCCCCGCAGUCUAAUACACUCCACAGUAAGACGGACCAGGAACAGCAGCAGCCUCCGGUGUCGGCCCAGUGAUCCGGGAGCUCAGAGUGUAGGUACCUGACGGCUUGACUCGUCCCCAGGACAAGGCCUGUGAGUGGGAGAGGGGCACUCUGAGUGUGCGAAUCUGUGAGAGUGUGUGUGUGUCUGGGCACGAGUGUGUAUGCGUGUGUGUGCAUGUAUAUUCACAUGUGUGAGGGUGUGAAUGUGUGUGUCUGUGGGUCUGGGCACAUGAGUGUGUGUGUGCAUAUACUACAUUCACGUGUGAGUGUGCAAAUGCGAGUGUGUCUGUAGGUCUGGGCACGUGUAUGCGUGUGUGUGCGAGUACUAUAUUCGCAUGUGUGAGUGUGCGAAUGUGUGUGUCUGUGGGUCUGGGCACACGAGUGUGUAUGCGUGUGUGUGCAUGUACUAUAUUCACGUGUGUGAGUGUGCGAAUGUGUCUGUGGGUCUGGGCACAUGAGUGUGUGCAUAUACUAUAUUCACGUGUGUGAGUGUGCAAAUGUGUGUCUGUAGGUCUGGGCACAUGUGUAUGCGUGUGUGUGCGAGUACUAUAUUCACGUGUGUGUGAGUGCGAAUGUGAGUGGGUGUGGGUCUGGUCACAUGUAUGUAUGCAUGUGUGCAUGUAUUAUAGUCAUGUGAGUGUGCAAAUGUGUGUGUGGGUCUGGGCACACAAGUGUGUAUGCAUGUGUUUCUAUUGUAUUCAUGUGAGUAUAAGUGCAAAUGUGUGAGUGUGUGUUCUCUGCACACACAAGUGUAUAGGUAUGUGUUUGUGUGUGCAUGCACUGUAUUCAUGUGAGUGUAUGUGAAUGUGUGACUGUGAGAGUUUGAGUGUGCCUGGGUGUCUGGCUAUACUAGUGCAUGUCUGUGUUCGUGUGCAUCAGUCUGGGUGUGCCCGUGUGUGAAUGUGUCUAUGCGUGGGUGUCCCAAUAUGUGUGUGCCUGUGUAUCCAUGUCUGGGUGUGCCUGUGAGUGUGAGUGUGCGCAUGGGUGUCUGGAUAUGUGAGUGCUUGUGACUACCUGUGUGUGUAUCCAUGUCUAGGUGUGCCCGUGGGUGUGAGUGUGUCUGUGCGUGGGUGUCUGGAUACGUGUGUGCCUGUAUGAGUGUGUAUCCAUGUCUGGGUGUGCCCACGGGUGUGAGUGUGAAUAUGUAAGUCUUGCGUGUGCAUGAGUGUGUUCACAUGAGUGUGAGGGUCUGUGCAUAAGAGCCUAUUGUGAGUGCAUGUGGAUUGCAUUUAUGUGAGUCCGUGUCUGUGUGCACGCACGUGUCCCCGCACAAGCCAGCCCGAGAGGGAGUGUCCCCUGAACACACCCUGGCAGCACUUGCAGCGUGAUGAGGUUGAGGGAAUGUGUCGCUGAGGUCGUAAAUGCCUCUCGCACGUCCCAACACGCUGGAGCAACAGCAGCCCGUGAUGCCGGCCGCGCAGCCGUGAAGUCCGUGGAGCGUCCCUAAUCACUGGGGGUUCUGCUUUGCGGUGACAGCGGUGCUACUCACAGCUCCAGAACUCUGCAGCUUCCCCCCUGAAACGGGAACGGGAAGGUGGCGCGGGCGUCCACACCUCGAGCCACAGCCGGCGGGAGGCACAGGCUGGCAAAACUGCCUCUCAGUAGUGAGAAGAGACAAACAAACCGAACGCCAGGAGCAGAGGAAACGAAGACGAUGUGGCCAAGAAAAAUUGCAUUUUUCUUUCCAGUUUUGCUAAAAUAGCCUUCUCAUUGGCUGCGGCUUUGGAGGUGGCAGAAAUCAUACGUUUAAUCACGGCGCCCUCCUGCUUGCCAAGGUUAGCAGGGGCUGUACUGCUGUGCCCUCCUGUCCCUGGAGGCUCUGGUGGCCCCACUCCCCACACUGCCAGGCUGGGUGCCACGCUGCCGUGACCCCGGAAUUCAGCCUGUGGUGAUCGGUCUUCCCUAGCACGGAGCUGAGUUAGGGGCUCUAGAAUCAGUCCCAGCCACGUGAGGCUCUCCCUGGGAUGUGAGGGUCGUCUCGUCUGUUUACACGGGGGCCACAGUGCAGAUCCCAGCCCGGGCAGGGGAGGGGCAAAUCUAUGCCCACUUCAAGCUUCCACUUCUGCCCGCCUCAAAGUGCCGGAGACUCCGGCACCUCUGCGUUCCUCCUUCCCGGUAGGAACAGAAAGCUGGGAAAGGGCUGGGGUGGCAAGGAAGAGCCCCAGGAAGACGGGAGUGGCUCUCCCCACUCCCUAGAGGACCUCCCUCCCCCAAGCCCAUGGGCCGCCUUCUCCAGGGACUCUUCCCUGUCCCACCCACCGGGCAAGGUGGGCCCAGCAGGGUCUCCUUUUCACCGUGCGCCCCCUCCUGUGGCCGGGUCCUGGGCUAAUGACCUCACAUGCUGCUUUUACAAGUCAGGUUUAUUGCGGUAUCACGUACACACAUAAGGCUCACCCGUUUUCGAUGUACAGCCGACGACUUGGUAAGGGUCUAGAGUGGGGCACUUCUGCCCCGACAGAGGCAGCCCACAUUUUGCCCCUCUGCAGUCAGGCCCCUUCCCGGCCCCCAACCACCACCUGUCUCUCCUCGCUCCUACAGCUUUGCGUCCUCCAGAAUUGUCCUGUGAGUGACUCCCGCAGGAUGGAGACUUUUGUGUCUGGCUUCCUUCACUUCGCAGCAGGCUUCGCGGGACCCGUGUGGUGGCACCAGCGUCCAGCCCUUGGUACUGCUGAGUUGUAGGUUGUGGGACAGGUGGAGGUACCACAGUUGCUCACGGGUUCACCUGUGGAUGGGCAUGUGGGCUGUUGUGAGUGAAGCCACUUCAGACGUUUGCGUGCAGGUUUGGUGGGGACGUGCAGUUUCAUUUCUUUUGAGAGUGGGAUUGCUGGAGCCUAUGUUAAGGGUACGUUCAACUCAUCAGCUCAACUGUCUUCCAAAUGGCAGCCCCGUUUUCCACCCCCGCCAGCAACGCCCGCGA